rnacentral:rRNA from 1 species
UACGGAGGGGGCUAGCGUUGUUCGGAAUUACUGGGCGUAAAGCGCACGUAGGCGGCUUUGCAAGUUAGAGGUGAAAGCCCGGAGCUUAACUCCGGAAUUGCCUUUAAAACUGCAUCGCUAGAAUUGUGGAGAGGUGAGUGGAAUUCCGAGUGUAGAGGUGAAAUUCGUAGAUAUUCGGAGGAACACCAGUGGCGAAGGCGGCUCACUGGUCCGGUACUGACGCUGAGGUGCGAAAGCGUGGGGAGCAAACAGG